UACGUAGGGUGCGAGCGUUGUCCGGAUUUACUGGGCGUAAAGAGCGCGCAGGCGGUCGUUCAAGUCGCGUGUGAAAGCCCCCGGCUCAACUGGGGAGGGUCACGCGAUACUGAUCGACUCGAAGGCAGGAGAGGGUAGUGGAAUUCCCGGUGUAGUGGUGAAAUGCGUAGAUAUCUGGAGGAACACCGGUGGCGAAGGCGGCAUCCUGGACCAACACUGACGCUGAGGAGCGAAAGCCAGGGGAGCAAACGGG
rnacentral:rRNA from 1 species